GUCUUCAGUUAUUGGGCGUAGGCUAGCCCUUUAACGCCCCCUACCUUCUUGGUUCAUUGUUAGUUGAAUCAUGAGGUUCUGAGAGAAAGAGUCGCCAUUUUUAGACCUUUCUAUUUUUGAAGUUUUGAAUUUUAAUGUUGGCUUAAUUAGCUGGAUUGCCACUUGUGAGGCAUUUCUUAGAAUGUGAUGGGUUUUAGUUGGUUCGGCUUGGCGGUUCGUGAGCUUGCUAUUAUUCUUGACUAAUUUUUAUGCUGAAAGACUUGGAAACCAUGCUGUCGACCACGUCGAGAAGCUGAGUAACAUUCUGCUUUUACAAUGGCACCUCUUAAUAAAAGGAACUUAUUAAGCCAUCCAAUCUAGGGCUUCCAUCAAAUCGUGCAGGCUGCAUGGAAGUCACAUUUACCUUUGCUGUGAACAUCAUGAACACACACUAUUUGAAGGUUCAUGUUUACGUAGCAGUGGUGUUGCUGUCCAAUGUGGCGUGUUGUUGCAGCCUAUGGUGGUGAAAGAAAUCUGCAUCAAGUUGCUGUUCCUUGUGCAUCCAAGCUUCCAAGGUGCUGGUUUUGUGCUACAGAAGUGACAUCCAAUAUCGUGUUUAAUUGCUAUUUGUGUCUUUGCAGUUUAUAUAUUGAGAAGAACAAAAAAAAAAGUAAUACGGGGAGGUUUAUGUCAAACAAAUAAUAAACAUGUCCAUGAUGGGGGAAUGAGGAGGAAGUUGGGGUGGGGUAUUUGGUUAUGAUUUACUAAAAAAAGUGAGGUAUAUUUUUAAUGAAUAUGCAGUACUUGGUGGUAAAACAGUUGUUAACCUAUACAUUCCUGUCAAACUAUACCUUCCCCACUUUCACUUACACUUCCAUUCCCCAAACCCCAUAAGCACCAACAUCAAACCCACAUCCUCUCACAUCCAUUCCUAAAACCUCACAAUCUCCAACAUAAAAUUCACACAAUUGUUGUAUAUCUGUAAUCACAAUUAUAUUUAAAUAAAUAAAAUACCAUCGUAUAUAAA